GUUAGCGGGAGAGGCAGAGAUAUUCAGAGGUCUUUUAGGAUGCGCUAAAGGGUCGUGAGGGCUCUCUUAAAAUUUUCUUCACAAGCGGUUAUCCAGUCGUGCCCCGCGGCCCUGCUGCUGGCCCCGGGGAUCUGAGUCGUACCCUCUUGUUUUUCUCUGAGUCAGUCUUAAGGUGAAAUGAAGUGUGGCCCAGUGGCUCCUCACUGUCGCUUCUCUAGUUUUCUGCCUCCUUUUAGAAAAU
rnacentral:misc_RNA from 1 species